UCCCCAGAGUUGAGAGAGAGGGAGCUAAGUCUAGCAUAAGAAGACCUACGCGGCCAGCGAGUUUUUUAAAACCCACCUUUUACACUGCAUCCAGUCCUCGAUUAACUCCUGCUCUGGGGAUGCGUUAACCGAACAGACCUUUUGAUGGAGAAGUGGGCUCUUCUCUCUGUUCCUGGUCUUCAGCCAGCCUCCUUCCUCCCCCUCUGCCUGUCUGGCCCUGGCACUUUGCAAAUCGCCGGUUUUGCGCACCCUCGCGGUGGGCGUUCUCCACGUUGCAUCCUGCCCCCUCGGUCCUUCUUCCAGCGGGGUGGCCGAGUACAUGCAUCUUUCUCGGGGGGCUCGCUCGCACACGCCCUCUCCCGCAGCCCGCGACUCCCCACCUGCCCCGGCUCGCCUUAGCCUCUCUUCUCCUUCGGGUGCAUCCCUGACCCUGGCAUCCCUUCAUCCCGGCCUGCUAGGGUUCGGAGCGUCGGGACGCGGCUGUGGCGGCGGUGCGGAGCUGGUGUGGGAAGCCAAGGCAGGAAAGGCGAACCCGAGUGGGUGGUGAGAGGCCAACCGAGUCCGUGGGAGCCAGGGAAGCCGAGAGGAGUGAGACACUGAGUGUGCGCUGCGCGCUGCCCUGGUCGGGGCGGACUCGUGCGGAGGCUCCUAGUCUUCCGAGCGGCGCCCCAGCCUCUGCAGUGAGCCUGCUUGGGUGCGCCUUGGGACCCAGGCACCCAGAUCCCGGAGGUCGGCGGAGAGGUACCCGAGAAAGGCAGUGAUUCUGAGAGUCCGCGGAGGGGAGACGCGGAGGCUGAGCGGAUGGAGGAACAAUGCCGCCUCCAGAAGCAAAGCCUUUCUUGAGCCUUGGCUGGAGUGUGGAGUCGGCUCUCUGCUCUGCUCUCUCCAGGCCUUGAGGCUACUUCUGGGCUUGGUUCCGCCUCUUAGUUUGACAGGAAUUAGAAAGUUGCUCUUCUUCUCUACAAGGUUUCCUUUGAAGUGGCUUUCCGAUCUGCGUGCUGGUUCAAGUCAAGAUGUCACUUUCUGGAUCCCCCGCGAGGAGCGACUAAUAGAUUAUGCAUUGUUGGGCAAUAAACUCUCCUGGGAAGAGAGGGUAGUCCACCCCAAGGUUUAAACGGUUCGCCACUGACUCCUGCCAGCCUCAGCACAAUGCCUUAAAUGACAAAGAGACUGUAUUGCCCUUGGAAUGAGGUUCCUACAGCAUAAGAAAGAAAGGUGCUGAGCACAUUCAGGAAAAGCAUGACUGGAGGACUAAGAUGCACUCCAACUUCA
rnacentral:lncRNA from 1 species